rnacentral:rRNA from 1 species
UCCCGGUUGAUCCUGGCAGAGGUCACUGCUAUCGGGGUUCGAUUAAGCCAUGCGAGUCGAGAGGGUUCGGCCCUCGGCGUACUGCUCAGUAACACGUGGAUAACCUGCCCUAGGGAAGGGGAUAACCCCGGGAAACUGGGGAUAAUACCCUAUAGAUUACAGAUGCUGGAAUGCCCUGUAAUCCAAAGUUCCGACGCCCUAGGAUGGAUCUGCGGCCGAUUAGGUUGUUGUUGGGGUAAUGGCCCAACAAGCCCGUAAUCGGUACGGGUUGUGGGAGCAAGAGCCCGGAGUUGGAUUCUGAGACACGAAUCCAGGCCCUACGGGGCGCAGCAGGCGCGAAAACUCUACAAUGCGGGCAACCGUGAUAAGGGAACCUCGAGUGCCUGUAAAUGCAGGCUGUUCAGGUGCCUAAAACACACCUGAAGAAAGGGCCGGGCAAGACCGGUGCCAGCCGCCGCGGUAAUACCGGCGGCUCGAGUGGUGGCCGCUUUUAUUGGGCUUAAAGCGUUCGUAGCUGGGUUGUUAAGUCUCUUGGGAAAUCUGGCGGCUUAACCGUCAGGCGUCUAAGGGAUACUGGCAAUCUUGGAACCGGGAGAGGUGAGGGGUACUUCGGGGGUAGGAGUGAAAUCCUGUAAUCCUCGAGGGACCACCUGUGGCGAAGGCGCCUCACCAGAACGGCUUCGACAGUGAGGGACGAAAGCUGGGGGAGCAAACCGGAUUAGAUACCCGGGUAGUCCCAGCCGUAAACUAUGCGCGUUAGGUGUAUCGGUGACCACGAGUUACCGAGGUGCCGAAGGGAAACCGUGAAACGUGCCGCCUGGGAAGUACGGUCGCAAGGCUGAAACUGAAAGGAAUUGGCGGGA